GGAAGGGUGGCCGAGUGGUUAAAGGCAGCAGACUGUAAAUCUGCCGACGAUAGUCUACGCAGGUUCGAAUCCUGCCCCUUCCACCA
rnacentral:tRNA from 1 species